UACGUAGGGGGCAAGCGUUGUCCGGAUUUAUUGGGCGUAAAGAGCGUGUAGGCGGCCACACAGGUCUGCUGUGAAAACUCGAGGCUCAACCUCGAGCUGUCGGUGGAAACCGUGUGGCUAGAGUCCGGAAGAGGAGAGUGGAAUUCCCGGUGUAGCGGUGAAAUGCGCAGAUAUCAGGAGGAACACCGGUGGCGAAGGCGGGUCUCUGGGCAGUAACUGACGCUGAGGAGCGAAAGCGUGGGGAGCGAACAGG
rnacentral:rRNA from 1 species